AUCAGUUGGUUCUUGAAAGUCAUUCAAUCAAUAUGUUGCUGAUAAAAUUAAUAUUUACUUUUUUAUUUUUUGCCCUAACAUGCAGUUUACCAGCCCUUGUAGUUGAUAACAAUCAACUCGAAUCUAUUUCUGAUGUUAAGGAAGUUGAAAGCAGCUACAAUGCACCACUGCAUAUAAGACACAAACGUCAACGAAAUUGCCCAUUGAGGCCAAUUUUAAUAGGAAAACAAUAUGUGUGGGUUCCAAAAUGCUAAAGGAUUAAAAAGAAAUUAAAUUUUACUAAAAAAAACUUAUUUUUAAGUUUAAAAAUAAAAAAUAAAUGUGAUUUUUUUUAUUUCGAAUCAACGAAAUUUUAUUGUAAAUAUGUAUAUUAAAAUAAAAUAAAGUGCUCCACUAAAUAACACGUACUUACUUGUGAUACAUUUUUCUAA